rnacentral:rRNA from 1 species
UACAGAGGGUGCAAGCGUUAAUCGGAUUUACUGGGCGUAAAGCGUGUGUAGGUGGUCGGGAAAGUCGGUUGUGAAAUCCCCGGGCUUAACCUGGGAACUGCAUUUGUGACUGCACAGCUGGAGUGCGGCAGAGGGGGAUGGAAUUCCGCGUGUAGCAGUGAAAUGCGUAGAUAUGCGGAGGAACACCGAUGGCGAAGGCAAUCCCCUGGGCCUGCACUGACGCUCAUGCACGAAAGCGUGGGGAGCAAACAGG